UACGGAGGGUGCAAGCGUUAUCCGGAUUCACUGGGUUUAAAGGGCGCGUAGGCGGCGCGGUAAGUCACUUGUGAAAUCUCUGAGCUUAACUCAGAACGGCCAAGUGAUACUGCAGUGCUAGAGUGCAGAAAGGGCAAUCGGAAUUCUUGGUGUAGCGGUGAAAUGCGUAGAUAUCAAGAGGAACACCUGAGGCGAAGGCGGGUUGCUAGGCUGACACUGACGCUGAGUGCGCGAAAGCCAGGGGAGCAAACGGG
rnacentral:rRNA from 1 species